GGCACGAAAGCGUGGGGAGCAAACAGGAUUAGAUACCCUGGUAGUCCACGCCGUAAACGAUGAGUACUAAACGUUGGGUAAAACCAGUGUUGAAGUUAACACAUUAAGUACUCCGCCUGAGUAGUACGUACGCAAGUAUGAAACUUAAAGGAAUUGACGGGACUCCGCACAAGCGGUGGAUCAUGUUGUUUAAUUCGAAGGUACCCGAAAAACCUCACCAGGUCUUGACAUGCUUCUGCAAAGCUGUAGAAACACAGUGGAGGUUAUCAGUUGCACAGGUGGUGCAUGGUUGUCGUCAGCUCGUGUCGUGAGAUGUUGGGUUAAGUCCCGCAACGAGCGCAACCCUUAUUGUUAGUUACCAGCACGUAAUGGUGGGGACUUUAGCAAGACUGCCAGUGAUAAAUUGGAGGAAGGUGGGGACGACGUCAAAUCAUCAUGCCCCUUAUGACCUGGGCUACAAACGUGAUACAAUGGCUGUUACA
rnacentral:rRNA from 1 species